rnacentral:rRNA from 1 species
AGAUCGAACUGUAGAGUUUGAUCCUGGCUCAGAUUGAACGCUGGCGGCAUGCCUUACACAUGCAAGUCGAACGGUAACAGGUCUUCGGACGCUGACGAGUGGCGAACGGGUGAGUAAUACAUCGGAACGUGCCCAGUCGUGGGGGAUAACUACUCGAAAGAGUAGCUAAUACCGCAUACGAUCUGAGGAUGAAAGCGGGGGACCUUCGGGCCUCGCGCGAUUGGAGCGGCCGAUGGCAGAUUAGGUAGUUGGUGGGAUAAAAGCUUACCAAGCCGACGAUCUGUAGCUGGUCUGAGAGGACGACCAGCCACACUGGGACUGAGA